rnacentral:misc_RNA from 1 species
ACGCCUUUCGAGCCCCUCUGAUGGGCUCGGUGUUGGGGCGCUAGGGGGCGGUUUCUCGCGAAGCCCCCCCUAGGCCCCCAAGCAGAAGUGCGCGGUCCGGCUGCGGGCCCCGGGUACAGUAACUUCACCGUUAGAUGCCCUGGGAGAAGCAGCUGGGUCUGCCGUAAAACCCCCGACAUAGGGACCCCCGUGCCACGCGCUAGGGAGGGACCGCCAUAUG